rnacentral:rRNA from 1 species
UACGGAGGGUGCAAGCGUUAAUCGGAAUUACUGAGCGUAAAGCGUGCGUAGGCGGUUCGUUAAGUCUGCUGUGAAAGCCCCGGGCUCAACCUGGGAAUGGCAGUGGAUACUGGCGAGCUAGAGUGUGAUAGAGGAUGGUGGAAUUCCCGGUGUAGCGGUGAAAUGCGUAGAGAUCGGGAGGAACAUCAGUGGCGAAGGCGGCCAUCUGGAUCAACACUGACGCUGAGGCACGAAAGCGUGGGGAGCAAACAGG